rnacentral:lncRNA from 1 species
UCGUUUGAUCUCAGUUCUUCGUUGGUUUAAACCCGAUUAUGUCGUCGAAUUUUCUUGUUUUCCUCUGAAUUUCCUAUUGUGACGGCAUGAAAAAAGGCGACCAUGCCUGAUGACGUCACAUAGAAAGAACACUUCUUUUUGCAGAUCAGAAAAGGAAUAAGUUUGCCUGCGUAUUGUUUGAAAAUCAUUAGAGAAACAGAUUCCACCACCAAAUCUCGUGUAAUACGAUAUUUAUCCAC